rnacentral:rRNA from 1 species
UACGUAGGGUGCGAGCGUUGUCCGGAAUUAUUGGGCGUAAAGAGCUCGUAGGCGGUUUGUCACGUCUGCUGUGAAAUCCCGAGGCUCAACCUCGGGCCUGCAGUGGGUACGGGCAGACUGGAGUGCGGUAGGGGAGAAUGGAAUUCCUGGUGUAGCGGUGAAAUGCGCAGAUAUCAGGAGGAACACCGAUGGCGAAGGCAGGUCUCUGGGCCACUACUGACGCUGAGAAGCGAAAGCAUGGGGAGCGAACAGG